CGCAAUCCAAAUCCAAUUAGGCUUUAAUUUAGUCAGCGACACAAAACGAGUCCAAAACGGCGAGGUUUUGAUCUCCGUCGGUUAUGUUUUAAAAACCAAAACCUCGCGCCACUUUUCUUCCCUUUCUAAUAUUCUCUUGAAAAAUUUAUAACCUACAAAAACAACCUCACGUCUUUUCCCGGUAACUGUCACCGCCGCCGACGCCGCCGCUUCUUCCUUCGUCUGCCUCUGCCUGGUACCGCCGCUACCUUCUUCUUCCCCCUCUAUUUACUCUCAAAAUUUCAAUCACCUACAAAAGAACCUCACAUUUUUUCCUUAUAACUGUCGCCGCCGCUGCCCCCAGCUCCGCUGCUUCUUUCUGCCGCCGUCGCCUCCACCUCUGUUUCUGCUGCCUCUCCUCUUCAACAAAAAAUAUUUCUUGGAAACUUAUCAAAAUUGGGAGCUCUAUCUUGAUUCUUGAUUCCUCAAAAAUUCCACCAAGACAUAUUAUUCUAUCAGAUGGCAUGUUAUAGGAAAUGCCUUGGCGAAGUGUUGUGUUGCGGUCCCUAUGCUUUCUGUUCGGUCAAAAUAUCAUUUGGUGCUAGUGAAUUUCAUGACCUCAAAUUUAUUGGUUUAUGGAAUCUGGAUAGUUCAGCUUUUGCCAAUAUUUGGCACUUCUGUGCAUGGAAUGUCGUUGGAUUCAUAUGCUUACAGGUCAGCAAACAACUUUACCCACUUUAUUUAAGCAUUUUAACUUCAGCUCAUUUUUAAUUAAUUUUUGUGUUAUACGUCUUUUCUCUUAUUGGAUACUGUCUUUGUGCUAGUUUAGUUCGUUCCUUACUUGAGUCAAAUAUCUCCCUU